GAUGAACGCUGGCGGCGUGCCUAAUACAUGCAAGUCGAGCGAACAGACGAGGAGCUUGCUCCUCUGACGUUAGCGGCGGACGGGUGAGUAACACGUGGAUAACCUACCUAUAAGACUGGGAUAACUUCGGGAAACCGGAGCUAAUACCGGAUAAUAUAUUGAACCGCAUGGUUCAAUAGUGAAAGACGGUUUUGCUGUCACUUAUAGAUGGAUCCGCGCCGCAUUAGCUAGUUGGUAAGGUAACAGCUUACCAAGGCGACGAUGCGUAGCCGACCUGAGAGGGUGAUCGGCCACACUGGAACUGAGACACGGUCCAGACUCCUACGGGAGGCAGCAGUAGGGAAUCUUCCGCAAUGGGCGAAAGCCUGACGGAGCAACGCCGCGUGAGUGAUGAAGGUCUUCGGAUCGUAAAACUCUGUUAUUAGGGAAGAACAAAUGUGUAAGUAACUAUGCACGUCUUGACGGUACCUAAUCAGAAAGCCACGGCUAACUACGU
rnacentral:rRNA from 1 species